UAGUGUCUCAAGGCGGUGUAGUU
rnacentral:siRNA from 1 species